rnacentral:lncRNA from 1 species
AUGUCUCUAUCUCUCUCUGUCUCUCUGUGCAGGAGUUUUCGUUCUGUCAGGUGUGGAGCAGUAACCAGCAGCCUUUGCACUGUGCCUUUUCUCUGGAGAGGUUCACCACUGCCACCACGCAGCUCUCCUGCAAGAUCAGCGUGCGCCAGGUCAAAGGUCAUGAGCAGAUCCUGCAGGUCUACACCACCGUGGCAGAGAGGGAAAAGGAAACGCUCCCCUUUUUUAUGCAGGCAGAUUGCACGGUCACCUCGCAGACGGGCGCCAAAGCCUUCAAAAUCCCCCUGUCCAUUCGGCAGCGGAUCUGCGCCACCUUCGACACUGCCAACGCCAAAGGCAAGGACUGGCAGCUCCUCGCCCAGAAGCUCCACAUUCAGAGGAAUCUGUCCUACUUCGCCAAGCAGCGCAGCCCGUCUGGGGUCAUCCUCAGCUUGUGGGAGGCCCGGCACCAAGCCAGCGGCGACCUGGACUCUCUUGCCAGCGCUCUGGAGGAAAUCAGCAAGAUCCACACCAAAAGCUCGGCCAAGACGAGCCCGGACGAGACGGAGAUGGAGCCUGACUUUAACCAGUGAGCCCCCGGGGCUGUGACCCAAAGCGGAUGCAAACCUAAUCACUGCAUCGGUCUGCAGCUGACAACGAGAGCGCUGGACUCCUGGACCUCUGAGCUCUUCAGAGAAACAACAAACAAUCGAGUAAAAGAGUAAAACACACCUGAUUGGUGGUUUAAGUCCACAAUCGGCUUAAUGACGACGUAAAGGGAGGAGGGAACGUACUUAACCUACUUGGAGAAACUUGACACGUAAACUUGAAGCAUAAAAAAAAGCAGCCAGAGCGAAGAGACGUCCGUCAAGCGAAACUUUUCGUUUCGUUUAGUAGAAGCUUUUCCGCUUCCUCUGACCUUCUUCUUUAUCAGUGGUUUGGUCGGUUGGUUGGUCAGUCAGUCAGUUGGCAUUCUUGCUUUUCUAGCAGAGCUCUGUGUGUAUGUGUGUGUGUGUGUGUAAGUGUGUAAGUCCAGCGUCUGGCAGCAUGGACCGGACCUUUAAACGCUUCAGUGUGGUGACAUUUACUUACUUACUUACUUGCGUACGUAUAUACUCUGGACUCUGGACUCCGGAUUAUGGACUUUGGACUUUGGACUCUCUGGUUUGUGGCUGGUUUUGGCACUACGAAGCGUUUAGAGGAAAGAGGUCACCUGGUCAAUUGAAGCGGCGGCUCUACUUUUUAAAGAACGAAAGAAGAAAGAAGCGAAGGAAGGCUUUGGUUGUUGAGUGGGGAUCUGUUCUUCACACACUGUGUUUUCUGCAGCCUGCUCUUACAUUUAUUUUCUGUUGAUUUUCGUUUUCUUUUAUUCCUCCGGUUGCUCCCUCAGCAGGGGGCCAGCCAUUGUAAAUGUCGUUGCUGGGACGCUGAUGAAUAAAAUAUGUCAAAUGGUGUUUUAUUAUUACGAA